rnacentral:lncRNA from 1 species
ACAUGAUUUCGGGGGAUAGAACUCGUGCCAUUAGGUAUAUGUGGAAAACACCUUUACCUACUAAACCAUCUCGCUGUCCCCAAUUAAAUUGUAAUUAUGGCUUCUCUAGAAUAUAUUUAGUUUAGUAUUAGUAAUCAUCCAGGAGCUCACUAUAGCCUUUAAGCUAGUUAGGAUUUUUAAUUUGCUGGUGGAAAUACUUAAGUGGGUGGGUGGUAUAGCAUGAAAUCCUCCCUUGGCAUAUGGCCUGUACCUUGCUGAUAAGAAAACUGAGGACCGCUGGGUGGCGCCGGGAUACCUAAAGGUGCUUGUCUGUAGAAAGGAACGUUGUGACAGUCCAAGGCUCGGAGAUACGCUUCCAAUAUGCCUGGAAGGCCCCUGUGAAGAAACUGCGCGCAGGGAUCAAGAGCCUGCGGGGGUUGGGACUGUUGCUCGCGGCCACAGAGAUGCGGCAAGCGACUGGGUGGACGCCACGUGGGGCCACUAGGAGGUGGUUCCGGGAUCGCUCAUCCUGGAUCAUUGCCUUUCUCCAUCUGCACGCACGCAGGCCAAGCUGGACCACUCGGAGGUGCUGGAGCUGAUGGCGCGCACGAAUUGAGUUCUAGGCCUUAGGCAAGACCAAAGAGGAAAAGGAAAUCAACUUCUUCCUAGUUGAUAAAGACUGGAGGAAAAGCAACUGUUAAAACUGUGUUCAUAUGACCACACAUAGGAACUGUCAAGGAAGAUACCAAAGGACGAACUCUUCUUAAGGUAAAAGACAACAUAAAGCUAUGCAUCAACAAGCUGCAACAAGCUCCCGCUGCCAAGGAUGGAGUCCUCGCUACCAGGGAUGGAGCCCCCGCUUCCAAGGAUGGAGCCCCCGCUUCCAUGGAUGGAACCCCCGCUUCCGUGGAUGGAACCCCCACUGCCGUGGAUGGAGCCCCUGCUUUCAAGGAUGGAGCCCCCGCUGCCAAACCUUCCCUCCCAAGAUCAACCGUAUCUCCUCAAACUGUAAGCCAAACUAAACCUUUCCUCCCUUGAGUUGUUUCUGUUAGAUUUUCUCUCACAGUGAGGAGAAAAGUAAUAUGGAUGCUUAGCCCAUUUCUAAUAUUGUGUCACCGUCAUUUAUGAUUUAAACAUGGACUGGUUCUUUAGUAUUGGCAGAAAGUAGAAAGCUUGUAAUUUUUAGUCCCCAUCACAUAGGUAGGAGCUUAGGAAAAAUCCCACAUUCUCCUGGUGCUCUCUAACUAAGACCCGACAGGGAGAAAAGAUCUUCUGAGACUUUGCAGCUCUAUGGGUGCCUUCACAGAUACAUUUCAGACAGCUUCCAUAACUGUUCUUUGAGUCUAAAGCCCCAUGGUUGGUAACAACAGAGCUACUGCGAUGUUUCUAUUUAUAAAAGGUAAAUGUUCAAUUUUUCAAUUCCAAGAGACUUUCUUUGUGAGACCCAAUUAACCAAGAUCUGUUAGGCUAACAGAAAGUAAAUGACUCUUCAGAAGGCUGCGGACUUCAUCUAUGUAAAAUGUAAAUUUCCAGGAAAGUCUCCAUGGCACCUUGAGAGCUUAACCGAGGUAUCAUCUCAAAUUGUAAUCACUUGCUUAAAGAGGGGCUGAGAAGUUCUAUUAUUCCUUUGUGUUGAUUCGAUGAACUAAAACAACGACCUCAAUUUGCAAAUGAAUUUAGGAUGAGCUGAAAUGGGAAAAAAAAGGAGUGCUAUUCUCUUAUAAGAGAAACAAGAUACAAUAAAAUCUGAAAGACAUGUUUUGUACUGGUUCAGAACUGCUGUCUAAUGUGUGCCAAAUGUCCUACUUUAUAUUAGAUAAAAAUUAGAGGAGGCCAUUGUUUUGGAUUCUAAGCUCCUGCAUGAAGCCCUGACAGAACAUAAUAAAUAUCAAAAUAUUGUUACUUAUACUGAAGCAAGUUAUCUGACCUUCCAAAAAUGAGAGAUGAUAGUGCAGUUUCUCAAACAGGCCAGUUACAGUAGGCAUGAUAAUGAAGCUCUCCCUGUUCCCAAUGUUUCAUCCCCAAAGUAACCUGAAGUAACCUAAAGUUAACCAAUCAGUGUACUUUCUUUGGUUCUCUCUAUAUAUAUAUUGUCUGCCAAAGGACCUUGGAACAGCUAACCCAGUCUGUUAUUUAUGUAUGUUUCCUUCAGUUUCUGUUUACCAACCUUCUACUAACUUCAUUGAAGCAUUUAUUUGCUUCAUGAAACGAAGCAUUGCCUGAUUCAAGAACCACAAACCCACUCCAAAACCUUUAAGAUAAAUUUGCUGUAUUCUGCCAUUUGACAGCAGUCUCAUUCAGAUUGCCUAUGCACAAAUAACUUGAGUAUGCUUAAUAAAUAAUCAAACACAAUAAUUUUCUAGGCUUUAAGAGAAUAUUCUGUGCCAGAAUUUUUAUCUCUUGAAUAGGUUGGAUACCUAUAGAUAUGGAACAGAAUAAAUAAUGUUAGAAAUCAAAAGUCCAGGCAAUGUAUAAUAAUAUCUGCUUGUCAAGACUUGGAAGCAACUUGAAACAUGAAUUCAUAUGCAAGCCAAAUCCCAGGUAAAACACAAAAUUAGAAACCAUGAAGGAAAAAGACAGAAUUGUAAGGUAUGUGGAAUGGAGCAAAUUUGGCAACAAGCACCCAGAGACAUGGCAAGGGUGUUCAGGGGAGAAUAAACACUGCAAUGAGGAAGAGAGGGUAGCCAGAUAUUCAAAUAUAGUCUGCAUUUCUUCCUGGGUCAAAUGGGCAAGGCAAAGCAAAACCAGAGAAUUGGUCUCUUCAUUGAGAGAACAAUAUGUACAAAGUUGUCCUGGCCAGAGGAUUCAUGGAUCUUCUCUGGCUAGCCAUAAGGCUGGCUAAAAGCACUAGAAAGAACAUAAGGGAAAGAGGUAACAUCUAUCAACAAAAUGACAGUAUUUGUAACCUGUUAAAACUAACUCCAACUUUACAUUCUGGAAAUCUUAGCAUGAGUAAUUUCACCAAGCAACAUCUGCCACAAUCUGAAGUGAAUUCUAGCUUACUUAAUUCUACUUUAAAAACCAACAUAAGCAGAGAUCUGAUUAAAAUAUGCUAACUGUAUAUAGUGAAAAAAUGAUGUAGCUACUUUUAAAGGAUAAAUUCAAUUUUUACACAUAAAAUAUCUAUGGUAUAUAAUUUUUAAAUUUAACUAGAAUAUACAGGUAAGCCCACAUCAUAUUUGUAAAUGACCUAUGUGUGUUUGAUGAUUUUCUUAUACCAAUUAUUCAAUAAUUUCAAUUUCUUCUUUCUAUAGAUGCAGAAAAUUCACCAAAGAUCUAGCUGUUAUAUUGCUCACGCCUGAAUGUUCUAAAAUUUCUACUUUGUUGUCCUUUAAAUAACAAACAAUAACACUAAAAAUAAAAAAAGAGCUAAUUCAUGUUGCCCAUUUCCCUCAGGUGUAAGCAAGUGAUUCUCAAAUCUCACACUGCAUUAGAACUAUCCAGGUACUUUAAGAGCUAUAGAGAUUUUCUUUUAAUAAUUCAUGGUAGGUAUGAACACAAAAAUAUUGUACAAAUAUUCCAAGUGAGUCUAGUAUGCACACAAAAGUGGUACUCCACCAAGAACACAGACUAAAAACCAGACUGCUUGAACUUGAGUCUUGGCUCUGUCAUUUACUCUUCAUAUAGGCAAAAUAGUUAAGACUCACGGCUCACCUGAAAAAAAAAAAAAA